rnacentral:rRNA from 1 species
UACGUAGGUGGCAAGCGUUGUCCGGAAUGACUGGGCGUAAAGGGAGUCUAGGUGGUAGAUUAAGUCAACUGUGAAAGCCUAUGGCUUAACCAUAGAAGAGCAGUUGAUACUGGUGUACUCAGAGUGCAGGAGAGGUAAUGGGAAUUCCUAGUGUAGCGGUAAAAUGCGUAGAGAUUAGGAGGAACACCGGAGGCGAAGGCGCGUUACUGGACUGUAACUGACACUGAAGCUCGAAAGCGUGGGGAGCAAA